GAUGAACGCUGGCGGCGUGCUUAACACAUGCAAGUCGAACGGGAAACCUUUUAUUGAAGCUUCGGCAGAUUUAGCUGGUUUCUAGUGGCGGACGGGUGAGUAACGCGUGGGUAACCUUCCUUAUUCAGGGGGAUAACAACCAGAAAUGGUUGCUAAUACCGCAUAAGCGCACAGGACCGCAUGGUCCGGUGUGAACAACUCCGGUGGGAUAAGAUGGACCGGCGUUGGAUUAGCUAGUUGGCAGGGUAACGGCCUACGAAGGCGACGAUCUAUAGCCGGCAUGAGAGGGUGGACGGCCACAUUGAGGCUGAGACACAGCCCAGACUCCUACGGGAGGCAGCAAUGGGGAAUAUUGCACAAUGGGGGAAACCCUGAUGCCGCGACGCCGCGUGAAGGAAGAAGUAGCGCGAGAUGUAAACUUCGAUCAGCAGGGAAGAUAGUGACGGUACCUGACUAAGAAGCCCCGGCUAACUACGUG
rnacentral:rRNA from 1 species